rnacentral:rRNA from 1 species
UACGAAGGGGGCUAGCGUUGCUCGGAAUCACUGGGCGUAAAGGGUGCGUAGGCGGGUCUUUAAGUCAGGGGUGAAAUCCUGGAGCUCAACUCCAGAACUGCCUUUGAUACUGAAGAUCUUGAGUUCGGGAGAGGUGAGUGGAAUUCCCAGUGUAGAGGUGAAAUUCGUAGAUAUUGGGAAGAACACCAGUGGCGAAGGCGGCUCACUGGCCCGUAACUGACGCUGAGGUGCGAAAGCGUGGGGAGCAAACAGG